CAGUAAGUGUGACCCCUGUUUCUGUCCACCCCAGCUCCUUCCUUACAGGGCAGUUUAACAAUGAGAGAGAGCCUGGGAACUCCUUAUAAGCCUAGGAGGAAGGAGACCUCAGAAAGUGAACCAAAGUGUGUACAGGCAACUUAAAGAUUUGUCUUGUUCUGGAACUAACAUCUUAAUGUACAUAUUGAUUCAGCUGUGGGCAACUUGGAUCCUUCUUCAGGGGACACUUCUCUGCAGCUGUUCCUUUCUCCAGGACUGGUCCCAGCAUCUGAACCACAAUCCCUUAUUCUAAGAGGAGCCCCAGCCCGUGACUGGCGAGUUUGUGCCAUAAGACCCUGGCUAUUUCCCCCAGCAUGGAACCUUCUAAUGGCCAGCGUUCUCUGCGGCCUGCUGGGCUGCCAAAGAUUUUCCACUUAUACAUUGUAAUUUGAGGGCUCUCCUUCGAGGUCGUGCUGUUUUUCCUUUUCUUUUCUUUCACAGGUAUUAUUCCCCACUAAAUCCAUUUGCUCUCCUAACACCUCCUCAUUGUCUACAUUCUGGAAAACCCAAAUUAUA
rnacentral:lncRNA from 1 species